GAGGGUAUAGCUCAAGUGGUAGAGCACAUGAUUAGCAUGCAUGAGGUCCUGGGUUCAGUUCCCAGUGCCUCCA
rnacentral:tRNA from 1 species